rnacentral:rRNA from 1 species
CGGUAAUUCCAGCUCCAAUAGCGUAUAUUAAACUUGUUGCAGUUAAAAAGCUCGUAGUUGAAUUUCUGCUGCUUCGCUUUCGUUCCUUUUUGGUUUCGCUUGCGUUGUGGCUUUUUUCUGGUUGAUUUGGCUUCGGCCUUUUUUUCCAGAUUUUUUACUUUGAGAAAAUUAGAGUGCUUCAAGCAGGCUUUUGCCUUGAAUACUUUAGCAUGGAAUAAUAAAGUAGGACUUUGGUUCUAUUUUGUUGGUUUUUGAACCAAAGUAAUGGUUAAUAGGAACAGUUGGGGGCAUUCGUAUUUAACUGUCAGAGGUGAAAUUCUUAGAUUUGUUAAAGACGAACUACUGCGAAAGCAUUUGCCAAGGAUGUUUUCAUUAAUCAAGAACGAAAGUUAGGGGAUCGAAGACGAUCAGAUACCGUCGUAGUCCUAACCAUAAACUAUGCCGACUAGAGAUUGGAGGUCGUCAGUU